GCACCUUCCCAGGAUCUCAGCGCUUUAUAGGAGCCCGGGCUCUGCGCUAGGCAGCUCUGCCCAGUGGAGGCUCCUCGGGCCAGUGUUCAGGGUGGUUAGGUCAGGCUGGCCCAAGUGGCACUGGUCCCUAGGUCAGGGGUGGGAGAUGUGCUCUGGUUAGGGUCCUUUUCAGCCUACAAUGGAUUCACUGGGACCAAGCUUCACCAUGAGCAGUUACUUGAAGGGAAGGCAGUCUGUCUGGCCUCGUCAACCUCAGCUGGAGAAAUGAGCUCACCCAAGAAAGAUGUCCUGCAAAACUGCAGAGAGAGCUGGAAUAUUUAGGGCAUGGUGAGAAGACAGGUGAUGACCUUUCCAAAUACCCCUGAGUCCACUGUGGAGAGGGUUUCUGUAGGUGUGAGGGGGACACCUAUCCAUAUCUGCCACCAUCCAGGGGACUUCUCUUCCAGUUUGCUUUCCACAGACAUCUUGUCACCCUCCAUGACUGUGACUGAAGCUGGUUCAUUGACCAAAUCCAACAGAGGAAUGCAAACCAUUGUACACGCAACCCAUCCACUAGGGAUGCAUCCGGCUGCGGUUCAUUAAAUCACAAAAUAACCACAGAAGUAAGAAUGACGGGAAGAGGAGUGGCCAGAGAUCCCUGCUUCCCGUCUGCACACCGCCAACAGGCAAGCGGAAGUGCUUGUGCUCAUCCCGAGGGAGGACAGGAGUGCUGAAGCUUAGUCCCCCAAGGUGUCAGGCUUCCUCCCAGCCCUUUUUGCUGGUCAGAAGCUCCUCCUCUGCCUCGGAGUCGCAGACUAUCCCCUCCUACAAGGUGUCAAGGCAGGGUCCGACCCGGACGGUACCUGUUUCUGUCUCCUUGUUCUCUCAGCACUGCUGUCCCAGAAGAGAAUCACUGUCAGUGAAACAAUUUCUCCUCCACCUGCCUGCCGACGUCUGUCCACGACAACAGCAUGGCCUCAUACAGGCUGGACACUUGUCACAGAACAGCCACAUCCCGGAAGGGAGGGCACUCAGAGUGCGUCCUUCUGUGCCACCCUGGUGCUCCAAAUUGGAGAGACUGAGCCACACCCAGGAGGGGCUUCGCUGGCCCUCUCACCCUGGACCCGGACUGCCCCUCCCAUGUGGCUCUUGAGGUUGUUGGGGUGAAGGAAGCAGAGAGGAUGGGAAAAUACAGAAGAGACAAAGCUGGGGUCAGGUGGAGCCCUUACUCUACUGCCGGGAGAGAAGGAACUGCCCAAUCACAGUGGCAUCAUUACUUAUACACAUUCAGGAGGAGGUCAGUUUCAACCCCGCUGCCCAGUACUGUGUCUGCCUGGCUGCCCUGGGCCCCUGCCUUCUUGGAGCUGGAACAGCUGGUUUAUGCAGCUUGCUUUGGGCCGUCUGUGUUUUUAGGGCUGCCCUGCUUUAGCCCACACAUGUGAUCAGUCUCCAGUUUCAGUGGCACCCUACACAGCAGCAAGGCUACUUCCCUCCUGUGACCUUGUGCUAUGUCUCCUCACACUGUGAUGACAGAGCUCCAGGACAGUGAGAGUCCACUGCUGCAGGUCGGUGCCCAGCCUCAGGUGGACACUUGCUUCCAAGCUGGACAUGAACUCUUGCAAGGAGUCUUCUGUCCCCAGGAGAAGGGUACUCAUCGGAGUCCUUUGAGACAACUCAGUCCCAUCCCUGAGCCGUGCACAACCAGCCAGCAAUCUCCAGUGUCAUCAGCCACAAGUGACCAGGAGGACAGUCCGGGAGGAAACAACUCGAGUGACAGGAAUGUGGAGACGUCACAAAGAAAUGCUCUGAGGCGAGCUGAUGUUCAGCAAAUGAGGGGGUGAUGUUGGACCCCACAAAGCUUUCAGGUAAAGCAAUUGUACACUUUCAUUUUAUAAUCAGAGUCUGGGCUGGUCUGACAUAAAUGACCUUGUCUCACAGCCAAAAAGCCAUUCUCUUUGAAGGCCUUUUUGCAUUAUUGAAAUUAAGAACCCAUGAUUUUCCUUUGAAAUCAAGUUGGCCACUUGGAAUAGAGGCCUCUUGACUGAAGUCUAAAGGUCUCAGAAGUCCUGGGCACUGGCUUUGGCAUGCCGUCCCCCGCCUCUUUCUCUCCCUCCCUCUCUCCAUCUCUCUGUCUGUGCGUCUCUCUCUCCCCUGCAUCUCUCUCCCUCUUCCUCUUUCUCUGUCCCACCCUCACCUCCAGUAGUAUCUUGAAUCAGGAAGAGACUUGGUCACAUGUGUGGUCCAAGCCUCUGGUACACAGUGACAGGUUCAGAGCUAUUUAUUGAGCCUUUCUACAUGAACCCCGGGCUCCAUGCAGCUGAGGUGAUGGGCUCUUCUUAGUGUGCAGAACGUGCAUAGGACAAGGGUUUAGCUCAUUUCCAAAGGGCUGGGUAGGUCCAGCUGUGGUGGUGACCUCUGUUGGGAAGGGUGGGUGCCUGUGGGGGAGCCGUGGGCAGCCUCACACCUAAGGACACCUUUUCAGGUGCACUGGAGAUGGGGUGGAGAGAUGUACAGAGCAGGGUGUGCCUUGACCUGUCCACGUGACUGGCAAAGCUCUUAACUAGAACCACAGGGGCUAAGUGGAGCUGCAAACUGAAAAGGAGGGGAGCCCAGCUUGCGUCAGAAGCUGAGCAUUGCUGUCUGCUCAACUGAGAGAGCAGUGAUUCUGGGUGAGGCUGCCGUGUCCCCAUCCUGGGGGUGCAACAGCGGUGAACCCAAUGAGGGGGCGCUGAGCCCACCCAGCUCUGUUUUCCCGCUUUCCACGUAUGCUCUUCCUGGAGCACAUGCUGUCACAGUACACGGCAUCGGGUGUACCAAGAUCGGAAGCCUCACACCUACAGAUGGACACAGCUGGACCCGGAUAUGCCAGACAUGCAAAGGGGCAUGGCUAGACCCAGAAGCCCCACACCUGCAGGUGGACACGGCUGGACCAGGAAGCCCCACACCUGCAUGUGGACACGGCUGGACCAGGAAGCCCUACACCUGCAGGUGGACACGGCUGGACUGGGCAGCCAGGCCUUAGACUCAAACAACAGCUUGGCAUGUGUUGCAGUGGUUCGGUGCUGCCCCUCUGGGCUCUGGUGGGUCACGAAAGACUUCUCUGCAGCCCGAGCCUCCCAGAAGCAGGUGCUAAGACUCACGGUGCUUGAGCUCAGAGUAAUCACAGGUGCCACCGUCCUCAACCACCUGCAGCCAUGAAGCUGGAAUUCUGAGAGGCUCAGGGUUCGCUGCCACUAGCCAUUCAGGUCUGACCAAGCUCUCUCCCCCACAAUGCAGGGGAAAGCCAGGCCACUGAGCUCACACAGCCACUGCAGCAUGGAGGUGAGUCCCCAGGUGAGGCUUGGAAGGAAUCUGCUCCACCUGGGGACCCCGGACACACCCUUCUCCUGAGCCCAAGCCCACAUUGUGCAGGGCUGGAACUGCCUCAUGGCUGAGCGUGGAUCUGGACAGAACCCAGGCUGGAUGUAAGCCCUGGAGGUACAAGCUGGGUUUGACUGCAGGACAGGGAGGGAGGCAUGGGCUGUCCAGAGGUCGCCCCAGGGACACCGUGUUUCUGAGGGGUUGAAUUUGGGAAGAUUGUGUGAGGACGCCACCUGGAAUCCCCACGGAACUGUGCUGGUCUGAGCCCUGCAGGAGUGUGGACUCUCCUGUAGCCUGGCCACCAGCACAGCGACCGUCUUUCUUUUCAUUUUUAUGCAUGUUCUUCAGCUGACAUAAAAGCAAGAUUGCAUGUACUAAUGUGAAAAAUAUUUGUGUAAUAUAAAUAUUUUCUAGCAAAGCUUUAAGAACAUCUUAAAUAGAUCUUUUCUGUUAGGUCUGGUUAGGUGGAGAAAAUUACUGUCCUUAGCAUCUUAAUUAAAAUAAUGUUAUAAUGGUAGCAAAACAAACAAAAAGUCAUCUGACAUAUUUAUGUGGUAAUUACAUUUAAAAAAGAUUACUCUCCAUUAGUCUUCCUGACAGUACUAAGCCAUCUGUGCUUGUAAAAAUAAUAAUAAACAAUGAAUAUCAUAUGCCAUAUGUACUUCAUUGUUUAAUGGUAAUUAAGCAAUAAUCCUGAAGCAAUCCCUUGUUCACUGAGAUAAUUACUUUAAAGGCAAUUAUUUCAUAAUAAAUGAUAAUCAAUUGCUUACAAUAUUAACAAUAAUUUUCUUAAUUUUAUUUUAACCUUUGAAAAUGGCUAGUGGCCACAGACCCUCUCUGCAGCUGAAGUGGAAAUCAGUAGUUCUGCUGCAUUAGAAAUGAAUUUUCCACAAAUCAGAAUUCUUCUUGUGUGACUGCUAUAAACAUCUCACCUACCUUAUUAUUAACAAUAAAUGAUUUUAAUAAAACUUCUAGCAAAAUGUGAA